UGUUAACGUGGAGUGAAAGUAUACUGAUCGGAGGUAUUAAAGCUGGUGAGGAGAUGUUUCUUUCGGGCCUUCAACACGGACCUGUCCUGUUUCAGUGCCACUGAAAAGAGCGAGCAUCAGCUGGCUGCUACAAUCUCUGCUGGUUCUAUUCAUAAGUUAAAGUGGGCAGAAAUUCAGACUUCAACAUAUGAGCUCAGCCUGUUCUCAGCAAGAUCCUUUCAAAGGUUGGUACACAUUGCCGAAAUAGUGAUUGAUAAGCUCAGCAUUUACAAAACAGUCAUCAUUGGCUUUUUGGAAGCUGAAGGCAAUGUUGAAGGACUAACAUAGAAGAUGAAGGAUCGCUUGGGCUGUGAUGAGGCGAUUACCCUGACAGACAGCCAAGGAAAUGAAAUACUAUCUUAAUUUCCCCUUGGGGAUAAAUAAAGUCUCUCUGACUCUGAUACUGGACUUCACAAGAAGUUCCCAUUAGUGGAAACAAGUCCAGAAAAAUCUUUCCUGUCUCUCAAGAUGACUUUGCGGAGUUCCAGGAGAAAUGCUAAAGCAAGGUAAUUUAUGUAAAGUCAAAAUCACGCUCUCUCUCUCUUCCUCUUACGCUACACACAUGCAUAAAGUUCAAAAAUACAUUAAGACGUUUGAAAGUCUCCAAGUAGGGGUGGGCAGUAUAAACGGUAUACGGUAGAAACGAUAUAAAUUUGGCCAACGGUAGAGAUUUUGACUAUACCGCUCUACCACAAUAGCGCAUGUUGAUGGUGUCAUCAAGCUGCGCCUGUUUUGGUCAAAAGCAUUGCAGCGGCUGCAAACAACAUCUGCAAAUUAUGCCGGGUGAUAGUAUAGCAAAGAGACGAAUCACUUUUGGAAUAUGGGGAAAGGCAAAAACUGCGCUUCCUCCACUUCCAUACCACUGAUUCAUUAAUGCUGAAUUCUCUCGCAGCUGCUCUAUUCCCAUGUUGUUGCAGUAUAUUAAUGACUAACCUCGUAUUGUGGAUGGAUUAUCUUAGUUUUUCUCUUAAUGUCACGCUGGACGGAGGCCAGCAACUUGAACAGAACCCAAGCGCAGACACA